CCAAUAGCGUAUAUUAAAGUUGUUGCAGUUAAAAAGCUCGUAGUUGAAUUUCGGGGCCAGUAGGUUGGUCGUGCCACUGGUAUGCACUGGCCUCACUGGUCCCUCCUUCUUGUAGAACCGUGAUGGCAUUAAUUUGUUGUUGCGGGGAAACAGGACUGUUACCUUGAAAAAAUUAGAGUGCUUAAAGCAGGCUCGCGCUUGAAUACAUUAGCAUGGAAUAACGAAAUAGGACGAUCGAACCUAUUUUGUUGGUUUCUAGGAUCGACGUAAUGAUUAAUAGGGAUAGUUGGGGGCAUUAGUAUUCAAUUGUCAGAGGUGAAAUUCUUGGAUUUAUUGAAGACUAACUACUGCGAAAGCAUUUGCCAAGGAUGUUUUCAUUAAUCAAGAACGAAAGUUAGGGGAUCGAAGACGAUCAGAUACCGUCGUAGUCUUAACCAUAAACUAUGCCGACUAGGGAUCGGAUGAAGUUAAUUUUUUAAUGACUCAUUCGGCGCCUUACG
rnacentral:rRNA from 1 species